GGCCAUCUUUGCCCAGUGCACUGGUCCUCGUGGGCAGAGCCUCAGGGCAGGACAUAGAUGCCAGCCAUGGUCCAGCUUCAGAAAGGGCCCUCUUCCAGCGCUGGGGGCCCCCCUCUCCCAGUUGGACUUUGGGCAGCUCCUUCCCUGCUGGGGGCACAGGUCAGUCUGUCUUUGGUGAUUCCAUCUCUUCUCCCCGCCUUUAGCCUCCAGGGGAGGUGCUCCCUGCCCCUCUCUGGACAGGGCCUGGUGGGGCCGCCCAGUGCAUCUCACUCUGGGCCGCUUUCCCCCUUGAGUCUCCUAAGUGCUGAGUGACUCCAACUUCUCUGGCCCCAUGUUUACCAACAACUUCCACAGACAGCUAAUCCUAUCCUUUCCUUUUGGAUUUUUCUAGUUUCAUCCAAAGUACGGUUUCCAAACCCACAAGGGGCAAGGGGGGCACCUUAUGGGUGGGGCUCCAUGGGGACAUCCCCAGCUGGUGCUACGUGAGUUGGUGCCACAGCAACAUGCCAAAGUGAUGUCCGUCAGCAGGCGUUUGACACGGGCAAGUGCAUCCUGACCGCGAUUUUUCUUUGUGUGUGUGUGUGUGUGUGUGUGUGUGAGAGAGAGAGAGACUGAGUAUAUGAGUGCUGUAAAAGUGUGAGAGUAUGUGUCUCUUAGUGUCUGUGAGUGUGUGUAUCUGUGAGAGUGUGUUGUGAGUGUUGUGUGUGAGAGUGUGUGAGUGAUUGUGUGUAUGAGUGUGUGUGUUUGACACAGGCAGAUUCAUCCUGACAGCUCUUUUUCUUCUCUGUGUCCGUGUGUGAGAGAGAGUAUGAGUGUGUGUGUUAGUGUCUGUGAGAGUGUGUGCAUGUGUCUGAGAGUGUGUGUGUGAAACUGAGUAUAUGAGUGUUGUGAAAGUGUGAGAGUAUGUGUGUUAGUGUCUGUGAGAGUGUGUAUGUGUGUGAGAGUGUACGUGUGAGACUGAGUAUGUGAGUGUUGUGAAAGUGUGAGUGUGUUUGUGUCUGUGAGAAUAUGUGUGAGACUGAGUAUGUAAGUGUUGUGAAAGUGCGACAGUGUGUGUGUUAGUGUCUGUGAGUGUGUCUGUGAGAGUGUGUUGUGAGACUGAGUGUGUUGUGAGACUGAGUAUGUGAGUGUUGUGUGUGAGAGUGUGUGUUAGUGUCUGUGUGUGUGAGAGAGUGUGUGUUAGUGUCUGUGAGAGUAUGUAUGUGUGUGUGUGAGAGAGUGUGUGUGAGUCUAAGUAUGUGAGUGUUGUGAAAGUGUGACAGUGUGUGUUAUGUCUGUGAGAGUGUGUGUGUGAGACAGUAUGUGAGUGCUAUGAAAGUGUGACAGUGUGUGUGUUAGUGUCUGUGAGUGUGUGUGUGACAGAGAGUGAGUGUGUGUGUGAAUGUCUGUGAGAGUGUGUGUGUGAGACUGAGUAUAUGAGUAUUGGGAGAGUGUGAGAGUAUGUGUGUUAGUGUCUGUGAGUGUGAGUUUGUCUGUGA
ensembl:lncRNA